GUGCUUCCUGUUUCUUACCUUGACAUGUACUGAGAGCAAAAACAGUGAUUGUGUGCCGGAUCCAGACACAUCUAUGAGCACAUUGAGCUUAUGGGGGUCCAGCUGGUCCUUUGAUGUUUGAAUGCUCUGUGAUUUCCCUCUGAGCGUGGAUCAGGCCAGUGUGUCUUUUCCAAAUAUUAGUGUGGCCAGGUCUUGGGUGAAAAGAGAAACACGUGACUUGUUGAGUCUUUCAUACAUUUUCUUUGGGACUGUCACAUCAGAAUCAGCAAGAGCAACCAGGGUAGGAGAAAGAAACAAACAGGGGUAUUAUAACAGUGAUUCGAAAGUAAACACCAGAUACUACUGGAUUAUAUGAAGUGGUCAUACAUACAUACAAACAAGCAAGUUAAAGACAUCUUUGAGAGAGGCAACAAUCCCAUGAAUAAAGAAAUACUGUAUAGGAUUAGCUGAUUUACCAUAAUGCCUUAUUGCUGCAUUUACCUAUUUGCCAGUUAAUGUUAGAUAUUUCUGAAAUAUGACCACUGUUAUUAGUGGUUGAGUGAGUUUGUAUCUAGUUUGAAUUAAGCCUCAGUUAUGACACCAGUUAAGUCAUGUCUAACAGAAAUGUGAUUUAGUAUGGUAGUUAUAUUCUAUAAUGGUAAGGCCUUAAUCUGUUGAAUACAUAUAAAUUUUACUAAUUAUUUGAUUUAUCUGUGUUGUAGAAGCACACACAUACAAGUCUACUCAGCUUGUGUUUUAAUAAAUAACUAAAAGGAACAUCUUGUCUGGACUGCAAAGCAAGCGAUGACCACUUAAAUUAUAUACAGUCCUUUUCCAAUCACCAAAACGCAGAUGCUUAGCUGAUGCUUCGUAUUAGCUUCAGGUAAACUUUAGAAUUAAUUUAUACAAAAAUUACAACUUUAGAUGGCCCAUAUGAUCUUUACAGACCAUAUGGGAAAGAAUAAUGAUUACUGUGACCAAUAACCUCCUCAAUAUAAACAUGGAUAUGUGGGUAUUCUAUUAAUGUAGAAAAUAAAAAUGUCAACCUAUUCUUCAGCAUACAGGUAGCUAUAUUAAUUUAAUUUAUACUCUACUAUAUUAAAGGCCUUACUGAUCAGCCUAACUAACUAGCUAAAUGAAGUGCUCAUACACACACCUGCACAGGCUUAAAUCACUUCUAUAACGUAUCCAACGAAAGUUGAAAUCAAGGGCAACUGGACUUGGUUGAAGAUACUGGAAGACGUUUUGUCCCUCAUCCAAAAGGACUUCUUCAGUUCUGCUGCAGUUCUGAACUGAAGAAGUCCUUUGGCAGACGAAAUUCACUCUCUCGAUUAUAAAGCUAUUCAGAUGGUAGUCAAAGUUACAUCAGUAGUUAAUUCACAUAAUAAAAUCCAUGUGUUAGCUAGUUACAUAUAUAGCUAGCAUUAGCUAACAUUAAUGUUAAUGUACACCAGUACUAUCCACAUAGAAAAAAUAGUGUGAGCUCAACGUUAGUAACUUACAAUAAUAAACUUACCACCAAGAAGGAGUAUUUUCGCAGGCAGUGUUUGCUUCUGUUCUCUCCUGCUUCUACUUGGCAGGCACACCUCUAUGUAGCCUUCUUCACAUUGAAGUUGUUCGCGGGAGCUGACCUGAUAUUCCAGUCUUCUGUGCUCUUUUCUUAUAAUAUCGGUGGUGUCCACCUUCGCCAAGUCCGAGUCGGGAAAGUAAUAUAAAGCAAACUUGGGAAACGACAUGAUUUCUGGCAAUUAUUAUGUUUGCUUUCCUCUCAGUGACUUGAUAGUGACCUGACUGUACUUUCAUGCGGCGAACUUUCACGUGCUGUGAUUGGCGCAUCUAUUUGAAAACCUUGUUUCUGAUUGGUCAAACUGAAUGUACUGCGCCAUAAAAACUCUCCACCGCGGUAAUGGACUGGGCGGGAGGGCACACACUCGCUGUACGGAAGAUGUUGACAAGAUGGACAGCCAGCUGAGGAGACAAAAUCUACAAACAAAUGGAAAAACCAAUGCCCACUGACAGACACGAAGAAAUACAAAUCUUACCUUGAGGCACCUGAUAAAUAGGUUCCAAAAACCACAGGCCUUAGACGAUUAAAGGAGAUCGAUAAGCUCCCUAUUCAUUGAAUAACAAUGAAAAUGACAGUGUACACAGUUCUCAGUGCCAAAGACCUGCUAAAAGAUACAGAAUGGAAAGCCAUGUGCAGGUAAUUGUUGUGGUGGCAGCCCGGCUGACGGUGAGUGUCCUGUUUUUUUUUUCUC